GGAGUGUGGUACGAAGCCUUGCACCAAAACCCAAAAAUUUGGAUUUUGGUCAGCUCUCGGAUUGGCUGUCUGGCGGGCUUGUACCGGUACAAGGUUGGGCCUGUACCGGUACAGAGCCGAGAACUCGCAAACCCGAGCCUCGGUUUGCAUUUUCGCAGGUCUUGUACCGGUACAAGGAUGGUCUUGUACCGGUACAAUGUUGAUGGUUGUACCGGUACAGCCAUCGGGCUUGUACCGGUACAGUGCCGCAGGACAGCGCACCCGAGCCUCGGUUUUG
rnacentral:lncRNA from 1 species